CUAUUAUCUUGAAGAAUUUAAAGAAAAUGCUUAUAAAGACUUGGCAUGGAAGCAUGGAAACAUUCACCUCUCAGCCCCGUGCAUCUACUCGGAGGUGAUGGAAGCCCUAGAUCUGCAGCCUGGACUCUCGUUUCUGAACCUGGGCAGUGGCACUGGGUAUCUCAGCUCCAUGGUGGGCCUCAUUCUAGAUGCUGCAGCUUUUAUUCAAGCUUAAUAGCACUUGGUGCAGAGCACUCCAGAGUGAAACCUCAUUGGCUUCCCGGCGCCUGUGGAUGUGGGUCUCUCAUCUGACGGAGUUCUUUACUGUGACCCCCGACUGCCUUUCGCAUGGCCUGAGCGGCAUCCUGGGGGAGAAUACAGUAGCUACUAAGAGAUGGUGGCUCAUAAGUCACCUACCUGAAAAGUGCUGGGUGAUUCGGAAGCAGGGCAGACCUAGGAGCGGCUCUGCCAGGGGGGCCUCGCUGCUCUGGUUUCAUGCCGUGCUCCAGUGCUGAGUCCCAGGUGCCGUGUUCCUGACACCCCCCGGCC
rnacentral:misc_RNA from 1 species